UGAUCCAGUCCCCCCAUUUUAUUAAUUAAGGAGUGCAUCAUGCUGUUACUGGAGAAAAAUUUAACUUAGGUUUAGCAGAUGUCAACUCACGGACUUUUGCUCAAUCUGCAACUGUCCGAAUGCACUUUCUAGCCUAGCAUUCGCUAGGUUUUUUUGUGCCUCAUUUUAGGCAUU
rnacentral:ncRNA from 1 species